rnacentral:misc_RNA from 1 species
CGCCAUUGCCAACUCGAAGUUUUACCCAAGAAGCACCUCCGUCCAAACUGCACGCUUGGACUUUGGCAACUCUCCUAGCUCGCGUAGAGGGUACGUGCUCCGUCGCUCAUCGCACUGGCGUUCCUUCAGAUCGUCACCACCCUCGCUACCGCCAGCGUGUCUCCAUGGGUGCGCCGCCUUCCUCGUUUUGUGUUUGUUGCUCUGCCUUAAGGCGAGCGUAGCGAUGCCUCUCACAGUUCGCAUCCUGGACCACAAACGAAGUUCGUGUCACCGACGCGGUAGCCUCUACACGCAAGCGUGAUGCAGGUCAAACACAGCGUGUGGCCACGUGCGUCAGAGUUUCAUUGAGGUGGUUCAUGUCUUGUUUCCGGCGAUGCCGUCUUCCCUGCUACCCAGAUGGCUGCCAUGCCACGUGCUCGCCACUGCUGUUUUCACAUGUUCUCUCUCCCCUUUUCGUAUCAAACAUUCUCUUCCCCUCAUGCCUUACCAUCGGCUGUCAG